AUUUGUUGUCUUUUCUUCCUUUCCUUCUGCCUAUUCUUAUCUCCCAGAUUUAAUAUAUGUAAGUUUUCACUUCCAGAUUCAUCUGAUUACAUAACAAGGAAAAAGCACACUUGAGCCUGAUUGUUGAUAGUUUUUGAGAGCCAAAAGGGCUGCGUUUUGGCUUGAGACCGAGUUUAGAUUAUGGUUGUGGUCCCAGGAACUGGCUGAGAUUUUCACCAUAACUCACAAAUUACUAAGGUCUCAUAAUGUUUUACAAUAUGCUGGACUUUGUACAUAAAAUAACCAUGGAAAUUAAAAUCAGUGUUAUUUCCAACAGGAGACAGGUUUUUUAAAAAAUCAUAUCCCAUUUCUCCCUUUCCUCUGUCCUCUAAUUCUGAGGAGAGUGAACUUGUUCCAAUUUUGACGUCUCUUCAGCUACACACCUGUCCUUAAGUGGGUAUCUAUAAAACCUGCAGUACAGUCAUCAAAAAGAAGGAUGAAAUACAGCAUUGGCCUUUAGUAUUUCUGUUGUCUUACGCCCGAAAACCUGGACAUACUUGACAGCCUCACCUGACAAGGAAAGAACAAGAGCGAGAAGGCCAGAGGGAACUCAGGAAUCUUCAACCUUAGACUGUGGGAGUGGAAGUGUGAGGAUCUACAGGAGGCCCAGGUAACAA